GAUGAACGCUAGCUACAGGCUUAACACAUGCAAGUCGAGGGGCAGCGCAGUGUAGUAAUACAUGGGCGGCGACCGGCGCACGGGUGCGUAACGCGUAUCCAACCUUCCCGUUACUCAGGGAUAGCCUUCCGAAAGGGAGAUUAAUACCUGAUGGUGUUCAAAUUCCGCAUGUUAUUUGAACUAAAGAUUUAUCGGUAGCGGAUGGGGAUGCGUGACAUUAGAUAGUAGGCGGGGUAACGGCCCACCUAGUCUACGAUGUCUAGGGGUUCUGAGAGGAAGGUCCCCCACACUGGAACUGAGACACGGUCCAGACUCCUACGGGAGGCAGCAGUGAGGAAUAUUGGUCAAUGGGCGGAAGCCUGAACCAGCCAAGUAGCGUGAAGGAUUACUGCCCACGGGUUUUAAACUUCUUUUAAUACGGGAACAAACCUCGGUAACGUGUACCGAAUUGCGUGUACCGUAUGAAUAAGCAUCGGCUAACUCCGUG
rnacentral:rRNA from 1 species